rnacentral:rRNA from 1 species
CAGCAGCCGCGGUAAUACCGGCGGCCCGAGUGGCGGUCACUAUUAUUGGGCUUAAAGCGUCCGUAGCCGGGUUGGGAAGUCCUCCGGGAAAUCUGGCCGCUUAACGGUCAGAAUGCCGGAGGAUACUCCCAGCCUAGGGGGCGGGAGAGGCCGAGGGGAUUCCCGGAGUAGGGGUGAAAUCCUAUAAUCCCGGGAGGACCACCUGUGGCGAAGGCGCUCGGCUGGAACGCGUCCGACGGUGAGGGACGAAGGCCAGGGGAGCAAACCGGAUUAGAUACCCGGGUAGUCCCGGCUGUAAACGAUGCGGGCUAGCUGUUGGGUGGGCUUAGAGCCCACCCAGUGGCGCAGGGAAGCCGUUAAGCCCGCCGCCUGGGGAGUACGGCCGCAAGGCUGAAACUUAAAGGAAUUGGCGGG